CUGUAAUGGCCUUUUUCUUGGGCACUUUA
rnacentral:piRNA from 1 species